rnacentral:misc_RNA from 1 species
GAUGAAGAACGUAGCGAAAUGCGAUAAGUAAUGUGAAUUGCAGAAUUCCGUGAAUCAUCGAAUCUUUGAACGCACAUUGCGCCCCCUGGUAUUCCGGGGGGCAUGCCUGUCCGAGCGUCAUUGCUGCCCUCAAGCACGGCUUGUGUGUUGGGCCUCCGUCCUCCUCCCGGGGGACGGGCCCGAAAGGCAGCGGCGGCACCGCGUCCGGUCCUCGAGCGUAUGGGGCUUCGUCACCCGCUCUUGUAGGCCCGGCCGGCGCUUGCCGACACAUCAAUCUUUUUUCAAGGUUGACCUCGGAUCAGGUAGGGAUACCCGCUGAACUUAAGCAUAUCAAUAAGCGGAGGA